rnacentral:pre_miRNA from 12 species
AGUGGAAUUGCUGGGUCAUAUGUUAAGUGAAUAUUUAUAAGAAACUGUCAAAUUGUUUUCCAAAGUGCCUGUACCAUUUUGCAUUCCCAUAAGCAAU